GAGGGUAUAGCUCAGUGGUAGAGCGCAUGCUUAGCAUGCACGAAGUUCCAGGUUCAAUCCCCAGUACCUCCA
rnacentral:tRNA from 1 species